CUACGUUUCAUCACUGUGGCUGUGACACUUUGGUCGGAUAAUAAUGUCUUGUUCAGCGUUCGGUUGCACGGCAAGACACUCAAAGGAAUCGGCAGUUCAGUUUUUCCGACUGCCUUUCGAUGAUGCCAGGCUGAAACAAUGGUUGGUGAACAUGAGGAGAGAGACCAGCAGAUGGAACCACGAAAAGUCCCGUCUGCAGUUCACACUUUGAGGAAGAUCAGUUUUUUAGAGACAAGCAGGUAUCCAAUCUGAAAACUGAAUGAGCAGAGCCUCCAGAAGAAAGACCUGGUGUAUGGAGCCUCCAGGAGGAAGACCUGGUUUAUAGAGCCUCCAGAAGGAAGACCUGGUGUAUAGAGCCUCCAGGAGGAAGACCUGGUGUAUAGAGCCUCCAGAAGGAAGACCUGGUUUAUAGAGCCUCCAGAAGGAAGACCUGGUAUAUAGAGCCUACAGAAGGAAGACUGGUGUAUUGAGCGGUGUAUUUGGUGCCAUUUCAUCUGGAUGU